rnacentral:rRNA from 1 species
UACGUAGGGUGCGAGCGUUGCCCGGAUUUACUGGGCGUAAAGGGCGCGUAGGCGGCCACCGCAAGUCAGUUGUGAAAUCUCUGGGCUUAACCCAGAACGGUCAGCUGAUACUGCGGGGCUAGAGUGCAGAAGGGGCAACUGGAAUUCUCGGUGUAGCGGUGAAAUGCGUAGAUAUCGAGAGGAACACCUGCGGCGAAGGCGGGUUGCUGGGCUGACACUGACGCUGACAGCGCGAAAGCUAGGGGAGCGAACGGG